GUAUAGUACGUUAGUGAUUGUUGAUACUAAUACUCCCCACAGGUUAGCAAUUCCUCACCAAUUGCUUGACUUAAAUCCUAACGAAUAUGCACGGGCAAAACUCGAAAAAAAUGUGCGAAAACAUGAUAUAAUACUUGAAAGAAAUAUUAACAAGAGAAUGGUGUAAUAUAGAACCUGACUUCGUUAAAAGUUUGGUGUUAUCAAAGCCCAAUAUAUUACGUGAAGUGAUUCGCCGGAAGGGUUAUCAUACAAAAUAUCAAUUUAUAAAAUUCCUACUAAAAUAAUUGCAGCAACAAUUAAGUAUACGAAUACUGUUGUCCCGGCGAUUUCUUACAGUCUCGUGAACUUCAAGUCAUUCCAAGUUACUACACGAUGUUUCUCCCUUUGGUUUUGAGUCAUUUGUUGCUAUAAGUGUUAUGUUUAAUAUACAGCUAUGUAUGAUUAAAUAUACUUAAUAAUAUAAAAAAUGUUCUUUUUAUUUCUAUAUUUCAAGUGUACGAAUACUUUUGUUUUCCACUGUAUGUAAGUACAGUAUUCUCUGAUUGAAUGUAGCGAAAGGGUUAAUCUUUUAAGACGAACCCUGAGUGUAUCGCAACGCAGAAUCCGUUAUAUUUCUUUGUUACAAUCGGGCAGCAGUUAUGAACAGAGUGAAGAUUUACUUAAUACCUGCGUCAUAAUUUCUCUUAAGUUUACAGGUCCACAAACAGACCCUUCGGUUCCUUUUCCAACAUCGAGGGUUUACCCAGAUUUAUACAUCCAGGCUUAAUCCUGCAAUAAAGUUUCAAACUACCUAAACAAAAAAUCGGAAGGGCUGUAGUGUUUCAGGGUACCAAAGUGUGCGUCCUUUACAAUUUUUUUUAAUGUAAGAAACGUUAUUUUUCUUUACUGCAAUAGACAAUAGAUUUGCUAUUUUUGGUGUACAAAAAUUGAGAUCAUGAUAAAGUAAAGUGAUUUUGCUGAAGUGUUCCAAUUCAAUUUCUUCAAAGAAUAUAAAAAAUACAGAGAAAUGAUUGUAACAAAAGUUCACUAGUAUCUAAGUGAAUAUAAGAGAGGAUUAUGACGGAGUUUGACGAAAGGAGGCUGGAUGAAAGAAGUGUAAUGUGAAAUUGAAAAGUCAAGGAUGCAAGGGAAAGCUGUUCCCGAGAACAGGACUAGCCUUGAAUCCACCAUAAACUGAAAUUAAUAGUGUUCGAAGCUUACGAAUGUGAGCUUUGUUCUACAGAAAAGUAUUCCCUGAUGAUACCUAAUUAAAUAUGAAGGAAAACUAGCUGAUAAAAUUAUCUGGAAUGGUCGGCAAAACGGUGGAAAUAUUUUCUUGCUAGACGUGGUUUAUACCUGCUAAUUUUAAACAGUUUUCACUUCAAUCUUUUAACCUCGGAGCGCUGAAAGAACGUUUGAAAUGUUGCUGUUUUAUAUGUUGUAAUACUUUUCUAUGUACGAGGUGUCCCUGCACUGACGGUUGAAGACAGAUGAUUUUAUAUGCUAUAGUUAGUCAAAAAUAUAAAAUAAUAUUUUUUAUCUAGAUCUAGAGAAAAUUAAAAUGGGAGAUUUCUUGGGAUAUUUUUUACAAUUAGAUGUGUUCAUGACAAGA